CCUACGGGUGGCAGCAGUGGGGAAUAUUGCACAAUGGGGGAAACCCUGAUGCAGCGAAGCCCGUGAGUGAAGAAGGAAUUCGUUAUGUAAAGCUCUAUCAGCAGGGAAGAAAAUGACGGUCCCUGAGUAAUAAGCCCCGGCUAACUACGUGCCAGCAGCCGCGGUAAUACGUAGGGGGCAAGCGUUAUCCGGAUUUACUGGGGGUAAAGGGGGCGUAGACGGCAGUGCCAGUCUGGAGUGAAAGGCGGGGGCUCAACCCCCGGACUGCUCUGGAAACUGUACGGCUGGAGUGCAGGAGAGGUAAGUGGAAUUCCUAGUGUAGCGGUGAAAUGCGGAGAUAUUAGGAGGAACACCAGUGGCGAAGGCGGCUUACUGAACUGUAACUGACGUUGAGGCUCGAAAGCGUGGGGAGCAAACAGGAUUAGAUACCCCAGUAGUC
rnacentral:rRNA from 1 species